AACGAACGCUGGCGGCAUGCCUAACACAUGCAAGUCGAACGAGACCUUCGGGUCUAGUGGCGCACGGGUGCGUAACGCGUGGGAACCUGCCCUUAGGUUCGGAAUAACUCCCCGAAAGGGGUGCUAAUACCGGAUAAUGUCUUCGGACCAAAGAUUUGUCGCCUUUGGAGGGGCCCGCGUUGGAUUAGCUAGUUGGUAGGGUAAAAGCCUACAAAGGCGACGAUCCAUAGCUGGUCUGAGAGGAAGAGCAGCCACACUGGGACUGGGACACGGCCCAGACUCCUACGGGAGGCAGCAGUGGGUAAUAUUGGACAAUGGGCGAAAGCCUGAUCCAGCAAUGCCGCGUGAGUGAUGAAGGCCGUAGGGUUGUAAAGCUCUUUUACCCGGGAUGAUAAUGACAGUACCGGGAGAAUAAGCACCGGCUAACUCCGUG
rnacentral:rRNA from 1 species